rnacentral:tRNA from 1 species
GGUGGCUCAGUGGUAGAGUGCUUGCCUGGCAUGCAGGAAGCCCUGGGUUCGAUUCCUCAGUACCA